UGGGGAAUAUUGGACAAUGGGCGAAAGCCUGAUCCAGCCAUGCCGCGUGUGUGAAGAAGGCCUUUUGGUUGUAAAGCACUUUAAGCGAGGAGGAGGCUACUUAGAUUAAUACUCUAGGAUAGUGGACGUUACUCGCAGAAUAAGCACCGGCUAACUCUGUGCCAGCAGCCGCGGUAAUACAGAGGGUGCGAGCGUUAAUCGGUUUUACUGGGCGUAAAGCGUGCGUAGGCGGCUUCUUAAGUCGGAUGUGAAAUCCCUGAGCUUAACUUAGGAAUUGCAUUCGAUACUGGGAAGCUAGAGUAUGGGAGAGGAUGGUAGAAUUCCCGGUGUAGCGGUGAAAUGCGUAGAGAUCUGGAGGAAUACCGAUGGCGAAGGCAGCCAUCUGGCCUAAUACUGACGCUGAGGUACGAAAGCAUGGGGAGCAAACAGG
rnacentral:rRNA from 1 species